rnacentral:misc_RNA from 1 species
AACGCACAUUGCGCCCGCCAGUACUCUGGCGGGCAUGCCUGUCCGAGCGUCAUUUCAACCCUCAAGCCCCAGCGGUUUGGUGUUGGGCAUCGGCCGUCCUCUGCGACGGCCGUGCCCCAAAUACAGUGGCGGACUCGCUGUUGCCUCCUCUGCGUAGUAAUUACACCUCGCACCGGAUAGACACGAAGUCCACGCCGUAAAACAACCCAAUUUCUGAAUGUUGACCUCGGAUCAGGUAGGAAUACCCGCUGAACUUAA